UACAGAGGUCCCAAGCGUUGUUCGGAUUCACUGGGCGUAAAGGGUGCGUAGGUGGCAUGGUAAGUCGGAUGUGAAAUCCCGGGGCUCAACCCCGGAACUGCAUUCGAUACUGCCAGGCUAGAGUACUGGAGAGGAGAUUGGAAUUUACGGUGUAGCAGUGAAAUGCGUAGAUAUCGUAAGGAAGACCGGUGGCGAAGGCGGAUCUCUGGACAGUUACUGACACUGAGGCACGAAGGCCAGGGGAGCAAACGGG
rnacentral:rRNA from 1 species